GAUGAAGAACGCAGCGAAAUGCGAUAAGUAAUGUGAAUUGCAGAAUUCAGUGAAUCAUCGAGUCUUUGAACGCACAUUGCGCCCCCUGGUAUUCCGGGGGGCAUGCCUGUCCGAGCGUCAUUGCUGCCCUCAAGCACGGCUUGUGUGUUGGGCCCCCGUCCCCGGUUUCCCCCGGGGACGGGCCCGAAAGGCAGCGGCGGCACCGCGUCCGGUCCUCGAGCGUAUGGGGCUUUGUCACCCGCUCUGUAGGCCCGGCCGGCGCCAGCCGACACCCAACUUUAUUUCUAAGGUUGACCUCGGAUCAGGUAGGGAUACCCGCUGAACUUAAGCAUAUCAAUACGCGGAGGA
rnacentral:misc_RNA from 1 species